rnacentral:rRNA from 1 species
GACAGAGGGUGCAAACGUUGUUCGGAAUUACUGGGCGUAAAGCGCGUGUAGGCGGCCAUGCAAGUCGGAUGUGAAAGCCCUCGGCUCAACCGGGGAAGUGCACUCGAAACUGCAAGGCUAGAGUCUCGGAGAGGAUCGUGGAAUUCUCGGUGUAGAGGUGAAAUUCGUAGAUAUCGAGAGGAACACCGGUGGCGAAGGCGGCGAUCUGGACGAUGACUGACGCUGAGACGCGAAAGCGUGGGGAGCAAACAGGG